AUUGAACGCUGGCGGCAGGCCUAACACAUGCAAGUCGAACGAGUGGCGGACGGGUGAGUAAUGUCUGGGACACUGCCCGAUGGAGGGGGAUAACCACUGGAAACGGUAGCUAAUACCGCAUACCAUCGGAUGUGCCCAGCGGGGAUUAGAGAGGAGGUGGGGUAACGUCUCACCUAGGCGACGAUCCCUAGCUGGUCUGAGAGGAUGACCAGCCACACUGGGACUGAGACACGGUCCAGACUCCUACGGGAGGCAGCAGUGGGGAAUAUUGCACAAUGGGCGCAAGCCUGAUGCAGCCAUGCCGCGUGUAUGAAGAAGGCCUUAGGGUUGUAAAGUACUUUCAGCGGGGAGGCGUUACCCGCAGAAGAAGCACCGGCUAACUCCGUGCCAGCAGCCGCGGUAAUAC
rnacentral:rRNA from 1 species